CUCCUUCCUGACUCUCCUAUAGGACAGAGGGACUCGCUUUCUAUGACAAGCUGAUGCUGGAAAUUCCUCCUCCUCUCCUCUGCAGAAGUUUCUUCUGCCUGAGCUUCCUGCUUCUGUUUGUGUAUGGUGUGGUAGAGUGAUUUGCCACAAGGAUACUUCAGGGACACUUCCAGACAUGACAUCCCCCUCCUAGAAGAGGCUCCUGCUGGCUCCUAGAAGAGGACCCACUUAGCAGGACCUAUAGAAACUUUCAACAAGGCUAGAAGAGGAGGACAGGACCUAGUCGUGAAAGUUUCUGGACGCUUCCUCAGCCUGGAGUCAGCAUCAACCUACUCAACGCAGUGGUGAAUUUAUCAGCUCUUACACUAGAUGUCGCCAUUCUCCUGCUGGCCGGGUUUGGCCGUUCUCUUUCCCCACCCCGACCCUGUCCUCCUGUAGGGGUCUGGAGCUCGCAACUUCUCACCUCACACUCUUAUUAUUAACAGCAUUAUCAGUUUAGCAGUUUACCUCCGAACAAGAGCAAUAGAGAUAAAAUAAUUUAAAUAUAAAUACGUUUUAAAAGCACAAAAACACUCAGUACCCAAGUGUGCUACAUUGUGACAGACCUUUCGCACCAGUGUCAUGCAUGCCUUUAAGCCUGUGUGUGUUUUUAGGCGGGCAGAGUCUGGCAGAGAUAGUGUGAGAGGUAGCUGGCGUGCCCUGCCUGAAGAUUGGGUUUCUCCAGCCCAGCAUGUUAAAGCGAGCAGGAGUGGGCUGCCGCCUCUGAUCUGAGCUUGAGAGAACAUUCUGGAAGUCAAGUCUUGGAAACACUUUGCCUCCGGGGGAGCGGCUUUUGUUUUGGUUGACUCUCGCAGGUCAAACAAACACUCCCCCGCCACCCCCCACAGCCGUCCACCCAUCCACUAUCCACCCACAAACACCCCCCCACCCCAGCUCCCUCCCCCUAUGCUCCAGUCCUCCCGCUCUUGACUCUAUCGCUCCGUGUGUAAUCCUUGGCAGUAGUGAGCACCCUCUUUCUUGGCCCAAUAACACCCCCCCAACAUUGACCCCCCCCCGCCUGCCCCUCGCUCAAGUUCAAGUUCAACUGGCUAUGACAUCAUGUCUGGUUGCUGCGGGCAACCAGACAGUCAGGACGUGACUUCUCAGUUUGCGGGCCUGUGCUGAAACUCUCACCCUCUGUCCUCGUAUGCAUUCCCUUCUUCCUUCUCUGUCCUGGGACGGGGUGGCGGUGCAGAACUCACGAUUGGCCACCAGGGAGCUCUUCACGGCAACUUUUCACUUUACAGAGUAUUAUAUAGAGGACCUCAGCUUUUGUGCUCGAAUAACUUCAACAGAACUAAAUUAAUAAUGCUGUUCUCAAAAAGACGCAAGUUUAGUUUGUGAAUAAUUAGUUUGAAGAGAAUUCGCUGGAAAAAAGUGAGGGAUAUAAUAUCCUAUACUCUUUAUACUACCUUUUUUCCCCCUUUACUUGCCUAUGCUGCCACAUACACCCUACACCACACUGCCCAAUACUACCCCCCUGUACUAUGCUAAACUGCCCUUUGCUAUCCCACACUAUCCUAUAUCCCUAUACACUGUGUAUUUUUACACUACCCUGUACUGCCUAAUACUACUCUAUAUUGCCCAAUACGGCUCUUUUCUGUCCCACACUACCCCUAUAUUAUAACACUGUUCUACCCUAUGCUGCCCACUACCCACAAUAGGAGGUAGGAGCACAUAAAAAUAUAAGAAGUUGCAUCACUUCUGUAUAUGAUUCUCAGUUAUGUCUAUUGUUAAUUUUCUGAUUAUUCUGAUAAUUUUCUGACUACACUACCCUGUAAUCUGCCCUGUACUAUCCAAAUCCCCUAAACAUUUUAAAAUGCUGGUGUGUUGAGAAGAAUUGAGCUUAGUUUUUAAAUCAUUUGACUUUUUGCAGAGUUAAUGCUUUAUUUUUUGUUUUUUAAAGGCCGAGUGAGGCGAGUUUAAGACCCCAAAGAGAAGAGAGUUGGCUGGAAAAAAAGGGAGGGGUAGACAGAUGAAGGGAACGCAGUGAGCAGCGUUGAAUGGGAUAAUGAAAAGUCAAAGGGAGGUUAAGCAACUGAGUGAGCGAGAGAGUGAAAGCUGGAGCUAAAGACAGCAGCGGCACCUCGCUGCAGAGCUUCAGAUGGCUGCCAUGUGUUACGGAGCAGGCUGGCUGGGAGCAGGCCCGGGGCGGGUGUGGUUUGCACAGUAAUGAGUAAAGUGCAGCGAGUAAUGGAGGAGGCCCAGUGUGGUGGCUGCCCACUCGCAACGCUCAAAUCAACCUCCACUGCCCCACUCCCGCCGAGAACGCCUCGGCCCUCUCGGGCCUGCUCCAGAUGGGCCAGAUAAACACACUGUAAUGCUUAGUGUACGCAGGAGGGAAAGUGAGGGAGAGAGAGAGAAAGCAAUGCAAUAGAGAGGAACACAAAUUAUGAAGUGUGAGGAGAGUUUUAAAACCAUGGUUUCAGGACUGUAUGUUGAGUUUUAUACAGUGACACUCUGUAUAAUUGUAUAAAUAUAACUCUUAAACUACUGAUCAUAAAUAGCUGGUUUUCCAUUCACCAAGUUUUGGAAAAUUUUGAACAUACCAAAAAAGAACCACACACAAAUAUUGCUAAAAAUUGUAUAAAUAAUUGCUAAAGCCGACUGUGAAAAAGAGUGAAAAGAUUUAAAAUGGUUUUUGAAUAAACAAUGAUGUCAAUCAA